rnacentral:rRNA from 1 species
GGAUUAGAUACCCUGGUAGUCCACGCCGUAAACGAUGUCUACUAGCCGUUGGGAUCCUUGAGAUCUUAGUGGCGCAGCUAACGCACUAAGUAGACCGCCUGGGGAGUACGGUCGCAAGAUUAAAACUCAAAUGAAUUGACGGGGGCCCGCACAAGCGGUGGAGCAUGUGGUUUAAUUCGACGCAACGCGAAGAACCUUACCUGGCCUUGACAUCCAGAGAACUUUCCAGAGAUGGAUUGGUGCCUUCGGGAACUCUGAGACAGGUGCUGCAUGGCCGUCGUCAGCUCGUGCCG